GUUCUCUUUGGCAGAAUAUAUACUAAAAUUUGAAUGAUACAGAGAAGAUUACUGUGGCACCUGCACAAGUUUGUUCAGAGAUGGUGGGAAGGCUCCACAGUACAG
rnacentral:snRNA from 1 species